GUGGGGAAUUUUGGACAAUGGGCGCAAGCCUGAUCCAGCAAUGCCGCGUGCAGGAAGAAGGCCUUCGGGUUGUAAACUGCUUUUGUACGGAACGAAAAGGCUCUGGUUAAUACCUGGGGCUCAUGACGGUACCGUAAGAAUAAGCACCGGCUAACUACGUGCCAGCAGCCGCGGUAAUACGUAGGGUGUAAGCGUUAAUCGGAAUUACUGGGCGUAAAGCGUGCGCAGGCGGUUUUGUAAGACAGACGUGAAAUCCCCGGGCUCAACCUGGGAAUGGCGUUUGUGACUGCAAAGCUGGAGUGCGGCAGAGGGGGAUGGAAUUCCGCGUGUAGCAGUGAAAUGCGUAGAUAUGCGGAGGAACACCGAUGGCGAAGGCAAUCCCCUGGGCCUGCACUGACGCUCAUGCACGAAAGCGUGGGGAGCAAACAGGAUUAGAUACCCCGGUAGUCC
rnacentral:rRNA from 1 species